rnacentral:rRNA from 1 species
UGAACGCUGGCGGAAUGCUUUACACAUGCAAGUCGAGCGGCAGCGCGGGGCAACCUGGCGGCGAGCGGCGAACGGGUGAGUAACAUAUCGGAACGUACCCAGUGGUGGGGGAUAACACAUCGAAAGAUGUGCUAAUACCGCAUACGACCUGAGGGUGAAAGGGGGGGAUCGCAAGACCUCUUGCCGUUGGAGCGGCCGAUAUCGGAUUAGCUAGUUGGUGAGGUAAAGGCUCACCAAGGCGACGAUCCGUAGCUGGUCUGAGAGGAUGAUCAGCCACACUGGGACUGAGACACGGCCCAGACUCCUACGGGAGGCAGCAGUGGGGAAUUUUGGACAAUGGGGGCAACCCUGAUCCAGCCAUUCCGCGUGAGUGA